AUUGAACGCUGGCGGCAGGCCUAACACAUGCAAGUCGAGCGAGCGGCGGACGGGUGAGUAAUGUAUGGGGACUGCCCGAUAGAGGGGGAUAACUACUGGAAACGGUAGCUAAUACCGCAUACUAUCGGAUAGCCCAUAUGGGAUUAGCUAGUAGGUGGGGUAAUGGCUCACCUAGGCGACGAUCCCUAGCUGGGCUGAGAGGAUGAUCAGCGACCUGGGAACGGGGACACGGCCCAGACUCCUACGGAGGGAGCAGAGGGGAAGAGUGCACAAUGGGCGGAAGCCUGAUGCAGCCAGGCGGAGUGGAUGAAGAAGGCCCUAGGGUGGGAAAGUACGUUCAGGGGGGAGGCGUUACCGACAGAAGAAGCACCGGCUAACUCCGUGCCAGCAGCCGCGGUAAUAC
rnacentral:rRNA from 1 species